UGGUGGACGGGAGAGUAACCCGCGAGCAACCUGCCCUUCCUAGGGGAACAACAUUUGGAAACGACUGCUAAUACCGAAUAACGGGGCGAGAGGGCAUCCCCAUGCCACCAAAUAUUUAUCACUGAACGAUGGGCUCCCGUCCUAUUACCUAGAUGGUGGGGUAACGGCCUACCAUGGCGACGAUCGGUAGCCGACCUGAGAGGUUGAUCGGCCGCAUUGGGACUGAGACACGGCCCAGACUCCUACGGGAGGCAGCAGUGGGGGAUAUUGCACAAUGGAGGGAACUCUGAUGCAGCGACGCCGCGUGAGGGACGAAUGCCUUCGGGUUGUAAACCUCUUUCAGCAGGGAAGAAGCGAAAGUGACGGUACCUGCAGAAGAAGCGCCGGCUAACUACGUGCCAGCAGCCGCGGUAAUACGUAGGGCGCAAGCGUUAUCCGGAAUUAUUGGGCGUAAAGAGCUCGUAGGCGGUUUGUCGCGUCUGCUGUGAAAGCCCGGGGCUCAACCCCGGGUCUGCAGUGGGUACGGGCAGACUAGAGUGCAGUAGGGGAGACUGGAAUUCCUGGUGUAGCGGUGAAAUGCGCAGAUAUCAGGAGGAACACCGAUGGCGAAGGCAGGUCUCUGGGCUGUAACUGACGCUGAGGAGCGAAAGCAUGGGGAGCGAACAGGAUUAGAUACCCUGGUAGUCCAUGCCGUAAACGUUGGGCACUAGGUGUGGGGGACAUUCCACGUUUUCCGCGCAGUAGCUAACGCAUUAAGUGCCCCGCCUGGGGAGUACGCCCGCAUAGGCUAAAACUCAAAGGAAUUGACGGGGGCCCGCACAAGCGGCGGAGCAUGCGGAUUAAUUCGAUGCAACGCGAAGAACCUUACCACGGCUUGACAUGAACCGGAAAGACCUGGAAACAGGUCCCCCACUUGUGGCCGGUUUACAGGUGGUGCAUGGUUGUUGUCAGCUCGUGUCGUGAGAUGUUGGGUUAAGUCCCGCAACGAGCGCAACCCUUGUUAUACGUUGCCACCGUGUUAUGCCGGGGAGUCCUAUGGCGACUGCCGGGGUCAACUCUGAGAGGAGAGGUGGGGAUCGACGAUCAAAUCACUCAUGCCUCCUUAUGUCCUUGGGCUUCAGGCAUGCUACAAUGGCCGGUACAAAGGGUUGUGAUACUGUGAGGUGGAGCUAAUCCCCAAAAGCCGGUCUCAGUUCGGAUCGAGGUGUGCAACUUGACCUCAUGAAGUCGGAGUCGUUAGUAAUCGCAGAUCAGCAACGAUGCGGUGAAUAAGUUCCCGGCCCUUGCACUCAACAGCCGUCAAG
rnacentral:rRNA from 1 species